rnacentral:lncRNA from 1 species
AUCGGGGCUGGGUCUUUUCUAGAACUCACUAAGCCUUCAGACCAUCUGCGGUGUGCUCCAAGAGGCUAAAGCCCAGGGAUGUACUUACUGCAGCAUCAAGGUCCUUUUGGAGGGCAGAAAAAAAAUGGGUGAUGAUUACCCUGCUGUCUUAGAAUGAUCCUGGAGAGCUUCAAGCUUUGGGGACACACACCACUGGGACCUGCCUACUGAAUCACACAUGCCUUCCAUGGCAACCCACUCCAGUAUUCUUGCCUGAAGAAUCCCAUGGACAG